UACGGGGGGGGCAAGCGUUGUUCGGAAUUACUGGGCGUAAAGGGCGCGUAGGCGGCACUGUUAGUCAGGCGUGAAAGUCCUGGGCUCAACCUGGGAACUGCGCUUGAUACGGCAGAGCUAGAGGAUGGAAGAGGGUCGCGGAAUUCCCGGUGUAGUGGUGGAAUGCGUAGAUAUCGGGAAGAACACCAGUGGCGAAAGCGGCUCUCUGGGGACCAUCUGACGCUGAGGCGCGAAAGCGUGGGGAGCGAACCGG
rnacentral:rRNA from 1 species